UACGGAGGGUGCAAGCAUUAAUCGGAUUCAUUGGGUGUAAAGAGCAUGUAGGCGGAUAAGUCAGUCAGAUGUGAAAUUUCGAAGCUCAACUUCGAAGCUGCAUUUGAAACUACUUAUCUCGAGGUUAGACGGAGAAAACGGAAUUCCAAGUGUAGCGGUGAAAUGCGUAGAUAUUUGGAAGAACACCGGUGGCGAAAGCGGUUUUCUAGUUUAUUCCUGACGCUGAGAUGCGAGAGCAAGGGGAGCAAACAGG
rnacentral:misc_RNA from 1 species